UAAGGUAUUUAAUGUUCCAGGGAAAGUGUUACAGUUCUCAGGGUUCGAUAAAUGAUGAUGGCAUUUUUCGCACUGAAAAUGCUGGAACAAAUCCUGUUUAUGCUCUUUUUUCAGGAGGCGGGUCGAAGGCUUUCUCAACAGUGGGCCAGUGGUUUCGGGGAGACGAGGGUCAGCUAACGGCACAGGCGUGCUUUCUGCCGGUUGCGAGAUGUGAGGUCGUGAUGUAACGGCCACUCGUUUAUGUCCACAAGGGUCCUCGGUGAGAUGCGCGUUGUUCCGCUUGGUCUUCUGACGGAUCAGCCUGAACGGUUUCCCCGGUCCUCCUGCAGGUGCUCUGUGUCCAAACCUGGCAUGGGCUCAAGGUCAGGGCACGUGAGCCAGAGCCCUGGGCGCCCACGGGACUGGGCUUCCCUGCGACUGUGGAGCUCAGCCCUCAGGCGGUGGCCGCCCAUCCGGUGGCCUGUGCGUCACCGCUAGGGGCUGUCCGGGUGGGUGUGGCGGCAUCCUCAAGGCCCUUCUUAGCUGGAACAUGUGUGACCCAGAAGAGCUAGGGCAAUCCCCACCCCCACGUGGUCAGCUGGGGAACAGACACCCUCCGAGACCAGCAGCAAGUGGCCAGUGUGCCAGCGGGGCUGCUGGGGUGUUGUGCCUCCGGUUCCUCACCCAGGACCAGGUGACAGCGGCAGGACUAAGGGAGACAAGCGCCUUGUGUCCUCAGGAAGCCAGACCACACCUCCGGGAGCCCUCACGCGGCCAGCGAGUAGGAGGCAGAGGCCGGAUUAACUUCCUGCCCACGUUGCUGCCGGACCAACCACAGAAAGCCAAACACGUUCCCCAAACCAGUUCUGAGGACGACGCUCCAGGCCUGCCCAGGCCCGACUUCACGGCGCCCACAGCCUCCGUCAGGACACGGACCUUCCUCCCCCUCCCCCGGCGGAGGCCCCGCUCCUGUGCCUGCCCGUGACCUUCUGCCAGAGGCAGGAACGUGGCCCAGACGCUGAAUUCUCUCCGGCUAUUGUACAGCACACAAACAUCCCUGAACCGAACAGCUUUGACGGUUCAGGAUCUGCAGAGGUUAUCCAGAGUACAACCUCGGACCAGAUGCACCUUUUUGGAAUUCCCUUCCAGAAGGUCCCCAGAAGGCCGGAACGGGGGUGCCUGCAGAUGCUCCAGAUGAUUUGCCCCAUCCUGCAGGUGCUGGGAACGGAUGGCGGACGGCGAGGCACCCCUGCAGUUCUGUUCUAUUGAAGGGGUGCAGAGGCCCCACACAAACACGCGCUCGAGCACAUUGCCUACUUUGAGCCGAAGUCAUGGGAGAAGCAGAGCAGGGUGACUCAGCAGAAUUGCCCGAUUCUUGUGUCUGGGGGCUUCCUCACCUCUAACCACGCGGGAGAACCACCUCUGGUCUGGCUCCACGGCGGGAACUGUUCCUGUUAACUGGGUGGGGCUGCUGCACGCGGCCCCAGAGAGCAACAGCCGCUUCGCUCCACCACCUGACACCCGACCCCGCGGACGGGGACACGUGAACUCGCUCGAGCUGACCGCCUGUGAGUGGGACUCAGACAUCAGUGGGUGAGUGAUCUCAGACCUAAUUACAGCGCAGUCAGGGAACUAAUGACUCGGACACAGGCAGCUGUGGUGUCUGUAGCUAAAACAGUCACUUGCAGACCUUGAUCGUUUUAGGGAAUUCUUAUUAGCACGCCCUCCACCAAGGUGAAUUAAGGGAAGGGCACACGCAUGUGGACCGGGUCACAGCGUACGUGUUUGGCUGCACGUGCCGAGCUCCAGAAUCUUACCUGCCGGUGUGAUGUUCCCCUCCCAAGACAGGCUGUGCGGAAAAUACUCAAGUAACGUGGCAGAUGCCUAAGUGGUGAUUUUUGA